rnacentral:rRNA from 1 species
UGCAGUGGAGCGACGAACCGGGCUUCGGCCCGGGGCAAAGCCGCGAACGGGUGAGUAACACGUGGGUAACCUGCCCCGAUGACCGGGACAACCCGAGGAAACUCGGGCUAAUACCGGAUGCGCCCGCCUCACAUCAGUGAGACGGGCAAAGGUAGCUUCGGCCUCCGCAUCGGGAUGGGCCCGCGGCGCAUUAGCUUGUUGGUGAGGUAACGGCUCACCAAGGCGACGAUGCGUAGCUGGUCUGAGAGGACGAUCAGCCACACUGGGACUGAGACACGGCCCAGACUCCUACGGGAGGCAGCAGUGGGGAAUCUUGCGCAAUGCGCGAAAGCGUGACGCAGCAACGCCGCGUGGGGGAAGAAGGCUUUCGGGUUGUAAACCUCUUUCAGUUGGGACGAAGCCCCGACGGUGAAUAGCCGUACGGGGUGACGGUACCUUCAGAAGAAGCCCCGGCUAACUACGUGCCAGCAGCCGCGGUAAUACGUNGGGGCAAGCGUUGUCCGGAAUCAUUGGGCGUAAAGAGCGCGUAGGCGGUCCGAUAAGUCUGCCGUGAAAGCCAAGGGCUCAACCCUUGGAUGCCGGUGGAUACUGUCGGGCUAGAGUCCGGA